CCAACUGGAAACCUGAUCCAAAAUAGAAAGGAACAAAAGCCGAAAAGCUAAUCUAAAAAGAAAGAAAAAACAAAAGAAAAAAGGAUAGGAAAGUUCAGUUGUUGCCUCGAACUUCCAUGGCCUAUUGAGCUUCUCUUCAUCAAUGCCUGAGGGAACUCCAUUCCAAAGAUGUCGAUCUGAUGCUGCCAGGUAGGUUCCAUAUCAAGACAUCCCAAUAAGCUCUCACCGAAUGUUAUGGUAACCGACCCCGAACAUGAAGAUUUCUUCAAACUAUAGAUUUAUACAGUCAAAUCUAUCAGCUCAAGGUUGAAACUCACAAGGAAAUUAAUACCACUGUCUAACUUCAGAGAUAGAAAUUCAGUCAAAUAAGUUGGUUUGCAUUCGAGGUUGAUCUUUUUCAAGAAGGUAAGAAUGAUUCAAGCCAAGUUUCCUAUGGACCUUUGGAUGAGAUACGUAUGAUGCUCAAGGUGCUUGAUGACUCCUUAGUGCUAUUAAAAGAUGCCACAUGGAUGAAGAUUACCAUUAAGGAGGGUCAAAGGACUUUGACGUGGUCGAAGGAGUGCAAAACGGGGCUUGAAUGCCCCUUGGAAGGGUCAUGCUCCCAAGGCGCUUUGGCGCCUCUUUUGAUCCACUCUAGCAUUUCAAGAGUGGGUCAUAACAGCCCCUAGUGGGCUUUUUCUUGCAUUUGGGUCACUUUUGAGACCUAAUCUUGUAAUAUUUAGUCAAACUAUAAAUACUUAUUACCGAGGCUUAUUUAGUUAGUUUUUGUUGAUUUAUAAUGAUGAAUUCACGGGGAGUGUUUUCAGGGCUUGGAAAAGCAAAUGUUGAUUUUUGAUUAGAAAUGGAGGUUGUAAGGGAGAUUCAAUCCCCUUUGCGGUCACGUAAGAGUUAGGUGCUAUUUUGGUAAUCUUUAAGAGAGGUUUUUUGAUUUGAUACACCAUUUGAUUGCCCUUUUAUUAUCAUAUUUGUGUCUA